UUUUUUGAUCUUCAGCUACAUUUUCGGCUUUGUGAGAAACCUUGUCAUCAAACACAAUGGCCAGCAACGUUACCAACAAGACGGAUCCUCGCUCCAUAAACUCCCGUGUAUUCAUUGGGAAUCUCAACACUCUUGUGGUCAAGAAAUCUGAUGUGGAGGCAAUCUUUUCGAAGUAUGGCAAAAUUGUGGCCUGCUCUGUUCAUAAGGGUUUUGCCUUCGUUCAAUAUGUUAAUGAGAGAAAUGCCCGCGCUGCUGUAGCAGGAGAGGAUGGCAGAAUGAUUGCUGGCCAGGUUUUAGAUACUAACCUGGCUGCAGAGCCAAAAGUGAACCGAGGAAAAGCUGGUGUGAAACGAUCUGCAGCGGAGAUGUACGGUUCCUCUUUUGACUUGGACUUUGAUUUUCAAUGGGAUUAUUACGAUAGGACGUACAGUUACCCAGCACGUGUACCUCCUCCUCCUCCUGUUACUCAGGCUGUAGCGCCCUCGAAACAUGAGCGUGUAUCAGGAAACACCUCAUGAAGGGGCAAAAGUGGCUUCCAUUCUAAGAGUGGACAGCGGGGAUCUUCCAAGUCUGGAAAGUUGAAAGGAGAUGACCUUCAGGCCAUUAAGAAGGAGCUGACCCGGAUAAAAUAAAAAGUGGAUUCUCUCCUGGAAAACCUGGAAAAAAUUGAAAAGGAACAGAGCAAGCAAGCAGUAGAGAUGAAGAAUGGUAAGUCAGAAGAGGAGCAGAGCAGCAGCUCCAUGAAGAAAGAUGAGACUAGUGUGAAGAUGGAGUCUGAGGGGAUGCAGAUGACUCUGCUGAAGGAGGGGGACCUACUGGAUGAUGAUGAUAAUGAAGAUCGGGGGGAUGACCAGCUGGAGUUGAUCAAGGAUGAUGAAAAAGAGGCUGAGGAAGGAGAGGAUGACAGAGACAGCACCAAUGGCGAGGAUGACUCUUAAGCACAUAGUGGAGUUUAGAAAUCUUAUCCCAUUAUUUCUUUACCUAGGCGCUUGUCUAAGAUCAAAUUUUUCACCAGAUCCUCUCCCCUAGUGUCUUCAGCACAUGCUCACCGCUCUCCCCAUCCUUGUCCUUCCCAUGUUCAUUAAUUCCUAUUUCCCUGUGCCUAGUCCCAUUUUAACUUCCUUUGACGCUCCUAGUAGUUUUUGUUAAGUCUUACCCUGUAAUUUUUGCUUUUAAUUUUGAUACCUCUUUAUGACUUAACAAUAAAAAGGAUGUAUGGUUGUU